UACGGGGGGGGCAAGCGUUGUUCGGAUUUACUGGGCGUAAAGGGCGCGUAGGCGGUCAGCACAAGUCAGUUGUGAAAUCUCCGGGCUUAACUCGGAAAGGUCAACUGAUACUGUGCGACUAGAGUGCGGAAGGGGCAACUGGAAUUCUCGGUGUAGCGGUGAAAUGCGUAGAUAUCGAGAGGAACACCUGCGGCGAAGGCGGGUUGCUGGGCCGACACUGACGCUGAGUGCGCGAAAGCCAGGGGAGCAAACGGG
rnacentral:rRNA from 1 species